rnacentral:misc_RNA from 1 species
UGGCUCUGGCAUCGAUGAAGAACGCAGCGAAAUGCGAUAAGUAAUGUGAAUUGCAGAAUUCAGUGAAUCAUCGAAUCUUUGAACGCACAUUGCGCCCCUUGGUAUUCCGGGGGGCAUGCCUGUUCGAGCGUCAUUAUCACCCCUCAAGCUUAGCUUGGUGUUGGGGUUUGCCUUUAAGGCAGCCCUUAAAAUCAGUGGCGGUGCCCUCUGGCUCUAAGCGUAGUAAUUUUCCUCGCUACAGGCCCAGGCGGUCGCUCGCCAUAAACCCCCCAUUUUCAUGAUUGACCUCGGAUCAGGUAGGGAUACCCGCUGA